rnacentral:rRNA from 1 species
UACGUAGGGGGCAAGCGUUGUCCGGAUUUAUUGGGCGUAAAGAGCUCGUAGGUGGUUCGGUAAGUCGGAUGUGAAAUCUCCAGGCUCAACCUGGAGGGUCAUUCGAUACUGCCGUGACUAGAGGUCGGUAGGGGAGUGUGGAAUUCCUGGUGGAGCGGUGAAUGCGCAGAUAUCAGGAGGAACACCCGUAGCGAAGGCGGCACUCUGGGCCGAUACUGACACUGAGGAGCGAAAGCGUGGGAGCGAACG